UCCCCAACCCUACCAACCCUAACUCCCUCUAAUUCUCCAACGGCGCAGCACACUCCCUCUCUCGUCCCUCCCAUUACUCUCGAGCUGGCGGUUCCUCUCAACACCGGCGAGCUCAAUCCCUCCCUUUCGUUUAGCCGCCAAACUGCUCCUGACGCUGUCGCCGGUUGGAGCUUCGAAGCUCACUCGGUCCCUCACUCAGCUAACGUCCCAGACUCUCAGCAGUGGAAGCACAGUCGCCGGGCUUGCCUCCUGCCUCUGUCGUGUAGCUCUGUUCCUCCGUCGCAAACUUUGCUCCUCCGUCGCAAGCUCUGUUCCUGCCUCCAUCGCCAGUUCUGUUCAUGCCUCCGUCGCCAGCUCUGUUCUUCUAGGUCUAUGAUCACUUGAUCAGAGAAUCUUGACUCCCCACGAACGUAAGAUAAUUGGUGAAGAUCAUACUUGCUGUAGAAAAUUAUACGGAAAAUGAUUCAAGUCGGUGUCCAAGAAGUGAACAAAUAAACAUACAUUGGUAUCAUCAGAACUUCCUUGAAUAUGUGGAGCCAUUCCGAGUUCUCGCGAUCUUCUUCAUUCAUGAGAUGAGUAUAUGCACCUUUCUUAUGUAAAGCUGCAAGGAUAUAUAAUAUCAUAAAGAUUAUUGUAUCUGCUAAACAAAAAAAUGCACAGUUAUAGCACAAUAGAUAAAUAAUAGGAUAUAUAAUGAAUACUUACGAUAGAAAGUGAUAUUUAAUAAUGAAGACAAGUGGUGCUGUUUUCGUUAGCAACCUACAGGUUCAAAGUUACUCUCUGGUAAAUCACAUUAGGGAGCUACUAUGGUACUGAAAGAAAGAUCUUUCAGUAGCUGUGAAGAGUGUAUGUUACUUAAUUGGUGGUAGGAACACAUGUUUUGUUGAAGUGUUCAUUAUGUUUGCAGAUGCUGCAGUUGGAGGCAGGUAGUUCAAUCGAGGAUCCCAUAGUUCAGAAGGAUUGUGUCAGACUUCCUAAUUAACAAAGAAAUUAAGAAAUAUUAAUGAGUUUGGUUUAGGAAAAUAAAUAUAAUAUAAUAAUAAUAAUGUUAUUUUUUGUUUUGAUAUUUGGACUGGAUGAAUGUGAAAAUAUUGUAUGGACCAUGAAUUAUCAUGGACAAGUUAAAGAGAGUUAGACUCUUUUUGUGUUAAGAAACAUAAAAAAAAUUGUUUUAGUGACCAAAAAUGAUAGCAAUGAAGUCCAAUUUUUGAAAACAAGAAGAUUUAUGAAAUUUAUUUGGCUUUGACCAAAAAAUCGAAAGAUAUUUUUUUAUUUGUUCCCAACAGCCAUGGAAGGAGAUAUUUCUUCAUGUGUAAAUGAAGACAGUGUUGGAGUCCACGGUGACAACAUUGUUUUAAUAUUUUCAAUCCAACCGUAUGUGGGUUUUUCACUCUCACUGAAUUCAAUUCAAAAGGAACCAUAAACCCUAUGCAACCCAACAAGCAUUCACCAUCGCCUGUUGCACCCCAGAGAUAAAACUAGCCUAACUGUUGUCGUCUCCGGUGUUGAUUGUGUCGGGUUCUUGUCAUCGUCCGUCCUGUCAUCAAGUCACACGUAGGUCCUGCUUGUGGCAUCCCUGUCGCAAAGGCUUGCCAGUCAUCGUCUCUUUGAGGUCUCUAUCUGACUCCAUCUGACUUUAUUUCAUUUUCUUUCUCGCCGUGGUUUCCAUUCUCCUGUCACCGUCGCUAUCCUUCCUACGUGGCCGCUGGUAAGAUCUUUAUCUUCAAGUUAAUUUUUGUUGUUUAAUUCUAAGUUGUUAAGCUAGGUUUAAUUUUGAGCUGCUGAGUUAAUAAUACUGAUUUUGUUGAUGCUUGCAUACUUUGAGUUGGUGAUAUUCUGAUUCGUGAUUAUUAGUGCCUUUGUUAGCUAAAAAGU